rnacentral:tRNA from 1 species
GCCCGGGUGGCGGAAUGGCAGACGCAGCGGCUUGAGGGGCCGUGGACCCGGACGGGUCAUGGGAGUUCGACUCUCCCCCCGGGCA